CCUACGGGAGGCAGCAGUGAGGAAUAUUGGUCAAUGGACGAGAGUCUGAACCAGCCAAGUAGCGUGAAGGAUGACUGCCCUAUGGGUUGUAAACUUCUUUUAUAUGGGAAUAAAAUGUUCCACGUGUGGGCUUUUGUAUGUACCCUAUGAAUAAGGAUCGGCUAACUCCGUGCCAGCAGCCGCGGUAAUACGGAGGAUCCGAGCGUUAUCCGGAUUUAUUGGGUUUAAAGGGAGCGUAGGUGGAUUGUUAAGGCAGUUGUGAAAGUUUGCGGCUCAACCGUAAAAUUGCAGUUGAAACUGGCAGUCUUGAGUACAGUAGAGGUGGGCGGAAUUCGUGGUGUAGCGGUGAAAUGCUUAGAUAUCACGAAGAACUCCGAUUGCGAAGGCAGCUCACUGGACUGCAACUGACACUGAGGCUCGAAAGUGUGGGUAUCAAACAGGAUUAGAUACCCUUGUAGUC
rnacentral:rRNA from 1 species